UGUGCUAUACCGGAGUAAGGCCCUUACGGGGAAAGAUUUAUCGCCGAAAGAUUGGCCCGCGUCUGAUUAGCUAGUUGGUGAGGUAACGGCUCACCAAGGCGACGAUCAGUAGCUGGUCUGAGAGGAUGAUCAGCCACAUUGGGACUGAGACACGGUCCAAACUCAUACGGGAGGCAGCAGUGGGGAAUAUUGGACAAUGGGCGCAAGCCUGAUCCAGCCAUGCCGCGUGAGUGAUGAAGGCCCUAGGGUUGUAAAGCUCUUUUGUGCGGGAAGAUAAUGACGGUACCGCAAGAAUAAGCCCCGGCUAACUUCGUGCCAGCAGCCGCGGUAAUACGAAGGGGGCUAGCGUUGCUCGGAAUCACUGGGGCGUAAAGGGUGCGUAGGCGGGUCUUUAAGUCAGGGGUGAAAUCCUGGAGCUCAACUCCAGAACUGCCUUUGAUACUUGAGGAUCUUGAGUUCGGGAGA
rnacentral:rRNA from 1 species